CUGGCUCAGGAUGAACGCUAGCGGCAGGCCUAAUACAUGCAAGUCGAGCGGCAAGUCGAGGAGUAAUCUAAGACCUAGAGCGGCGCACGGGUGCGUAACGCGUAUGCAACCUACCUUAUACUGGGGGAUAGCCCGGAGAAAUCUGGAUUAAUACCCCAUGGUACAUAUUGAGGGCAUCUGAGAUAUGUUAAAGAUUUAUUGGUAUAAGAUGGGCAUGCGUCUGAUUAGCUAGUUGGCGGUGUAACGGACCACCAAGGCGACGAUCAGUAGGGGUUCUGAGAGGAAGGUCCCCCACACUGGCACUGAGAUACGGGCCAGACUCCUACGGGAGGCAGCAGUAGGGAAUAUUGGGCAAUGGUCGGAAGACUGACCCAGCCAUGCCGCGUGCAGGAAGAAGGCCCUCUGGGUUGUAAACUGCUUUUAUCUGGGAAGAAAAAGGCCAUGCGUGGCAAAUUGCCGGUACCAGAUGAAUAAGCACCGGCUAACUCCGUGCCAGCAGCCGCGGUAAUACGGAGGGUGCAAGCGUUGUCCGGAUUUAUUGGGUUUAAAGGGUGCGUAGGCGGCUGAUUAAGUCAGCGGUGAAAGACUUCGGCUUAACCGGAGCAGUGCCGUUGAUACUGAUUGGCUUGAGUGUUGGAGGGGUACAUGGAAUUGAUGGUGUAGCGGUGAAAUGCAUAGAUACCAUCAGGAACACCGAUAGCGAAGGCAUUGUACUGGCCAACAACUGACGCUGAGGCACGAAAGUGUGGGGAUCGAACAGGAUUAGAUACCCUGGUAGUCCACACUGUAAACGAUGAUUACUCGCUGUUAUGGUGUAUGCUGUAGCGGCCAAGCGAAAGCGUUAAGUAAUCCACCUGGGGAGUACGC
rnacentral:rRNA from 1 species